CUUUUAAUCUGAGGGUCCAGGGUUCAAGUCCCUGUUUGGGUGUUGUAGUACCCUCCAAAUCUUCUGAGAGGACCAGUGAAUCCAUCUAAGGUGCCUCUUUCAAGCAUGUUUUGUUCAACAAGCAAAAUGGGCAAACUAAGGAAACAUUCAGCAGGUUGUCAAGUUACUAAUGGUUACUAGGUGAGAGUGUUGCUAUCUAAGCUUUGUUACCUUUUAGCAUGAAGUUGACAAAGACAUGGGUGGUCAUCAUAGAGAUUGGAGUCCAUAUAACAGCAUCCUUAUUAGACUGCGCAGAAAAUCAUGGGUCUGUGUGAAAAAGAGCACAUUGAAUGACCCCGACAUGAUUUGAACCUUCUGAUCUGGAGUCAGGCGCACUUCCGUUGCGCCACGAGGUCCCAGCUCGAAGCCUAUAGCGCAUCAUGGUGCAAGGCAUACUUGUUCAUCGGCGUGGCGAUCAAGACGCAUUGGAACUCGGAGACAGGUGGUGGGCUGUGACUGUUGCGACUAGUGUCUGACAUCUGGGCAAGAGCUCUUUCAGAGGACAAGGCACGAGCCCUUUAAAGGCAUAACCUGGCUGGUUUCCCUUCCCUGGACAUUAAGGGAGAUUUUCAAGAUCAAAUGGUAGAUCUCACCCCAGUGCAUUGAAUGACCCCGACGUGAUUUGAACACGCAACCUUCUGAUCUGGAGUCAGACACGCUACCGUUACUCGCUCGCUCUAUCUAUUUAAUAUAUAUAUAUAUAUAUAUAUACAUACACACAAACACACUAUGAAUAAAUAUUAAAGUAAAUAAAAAGAUGUACAGUAUUUCACAAUAAAGUGAGAACUCCCCUCACAUUUUUGUAAAUAUUUGAUAUCUUUUCAUGUUACAACACUGAAGAAAUGACACUGUGCUACAACGUAAAGUAGUGAGUGUACAGCUUGUGUAACAGUGUAAAUUUGCUGUCCCCUCAAAAUAACUCAACACACAUUAAUGUCUAAACCGCUGGCAACAAAAGUGAGUACACCCCCAAGUAAAAAUGUCCAAAUCGGGCCCAAUUAGCCAUUUUCCCUCCCCGGUGUCAUGUGACUUGUUACUGUUACAAGGUCUCAGGUGUGAAUGGGGAGCAGGUGUGUAAAAUUUGGUGUCAUCACUCUCACACUCCCUCAUACUGGUCACUGGAAGUUCGACAUGGCACCUCAAGGCAAAGAACUCUCUGAGGAUGUGAAAAAAAUAAUUCUUGCUCUACAUGAAAAUGGCCUAGGCUUUAAGAAGAUUACCAAGACCCUGACACUGAGCUGCAGCACGAUGGCCAAGAACAUACAGCGGUUUAACAGGACAGGUUCCACUCAGAACAGGCCUCGCCAUGGUCGACCAAAGAAGAAGUUGAGUGCACGUGCUCAGCGUCAUAUCCAGAGGUUGUCUUUGGGAAAUAGUGCUGCCAGCAUUGCUGCAAAGGUUGAAGGGGUGGGGGGUCAGCCUGGGCUUUGGAC
ensembl:lncRNA